CCUACGGGGAGCAGCAGUGGGGAAUAUUGGGCAAUGGGCGCAAGCCUGACGCAGCAACGCCGCGUGAAGGAAGAAGGCUUUCGGGUUGUAAACUUCUUUUAAGAGGGAAGAGCAGAAGAAGGUACCUCUUGAAUAAGACACGGCUAACUACGUGCCAGCAGCCGCGGUAAUACGUAGGUGGCAAGCGUUGUCCGGAUUUACUGGGAGUAAAGCGCGGGUAGCCGGGCUGACAAGUCAGAUGUGAAAUUCCGGGGCUCAACCCCGGACCUGCAUUUGAAACUGUUGGUCUUGAGUAUCGGAGAGGCAGGCGGAAUUCCUAGUGUAGCGGUGAAAUGCGUAGAGAUUAGGAGGAACACCAGUGGCGAAGGCGGCCUGCUGGACGACAACUGACGGUGAGGCGCGAAAGUGUGGGGAGCAAACAGGAUUAGAUACCCGAGUAGUC
rnacentral:rRNA from 1 species